UGUAAUUACUUGCCUCUGAUUUCCAUCAUUUUUUAAUAAGAAGAUAGCAUUAAAAAAAAAAAAAAGAAGAUAGCAUUUAUUCUUCCAUUCUUCUUUGUGUGCCAUAUGUCUUUUUCUUCCGGUUGCUUUAAUGAUCUUCUGUCUAUGUUUUUCAUUUCCAGCAACUAGAUGAUUACAUACUAGGUGUGUUUCUCUUCGCAGAGACCAUGCUAAUGAAAAUAUGAAUCGUCUUCUCUUCCUUUAAAGAGAAUUGAGUUUUAUUUUGGCAAAGUAGUUAAUGGGUUGGAUGCUCAGGUUGACCUCAGAGAGUGACCUGGUCAGGUUUUGUUAACAUGGGUAGGGAACAGCUCCAUCUCCCAAGCUAGAGGAGUUUUAUCCCUAAAGGCAUGCACUUCCUGGGGGUAUCAAUCCAUUGCUUGGGUUAUUCAGAAUACUCUGUUCCUUCCCUGGUCAGAAUUCCAACAUCUCCUGGCCCAGGGUACCCUCUGGAGUUGCUCUGUGACUCACCCCUUCCCUGGCCCUGCCAGUGGCUCUUCCCCAUUAAGCUUUGGUGUCUUGCCUCGCAAAUCCACAGUAAGUAUUUGGCCCAGAGGUAAGGGGACCUCCACGCAGAUUUGUGGUGUUUCUUGUUGAUACAGCUUCUUAUAUCUCUCUCUCUUUUUUUAAGAUUGUUUUAUUUAUUCAUGAGAGACACAGAGAGAGAGGGGCAGAGACACAGGCAGGGGGAGAAGCAGGCUCACUGUGGAGAGCCAGAUGCGGGACUUGAUCCCAGGACCUGGGAUCAUGACCUGAGCUGAAGGCAGAUGCUCAGCUGCUGAGUCACCCAGGGGCCCCGAGCUUCUUGUCUCUUAUUGUCCUCUUCCACUAAUUCUGGCAGCAUUGUUACACCGAACUCCUGCCUCUGUUUUCUCAGCCCAGCAAGGCCACUACCCAUCUGCUUUGGUUGUGCUUCUCUCUGCUGGGAGUGGAAAAUAGGGUGAACAUGGAGGUGGUCCUGAGUGUUCCUUUCUCUCAAACAACUCUUGACUGUCUGAAAGCAGUUGCUUCAUACAUUUGUGGAUGAGGGAGAGAUUGAGUCUGGUAUCAGUGACUCCAUCAUGGCUGGAAUCAAAAAUAAUCUCACAGGGUUUGGAGAAUAAGUGAUAGAAUGCUUAUGAAGUCUCAGGUACACAGUAAAUGAUUAAUAAAUGCAGCUGGUAUUAUUUUAAUAUUUUACUACAUAUUUAACUCUGUUUCUAGACUAUAUAGAUUCUUUAAGUUAAAGACUGUGUCUUCAUCAUCUUUAAAUCCUCAAUACCUAGCACGAAGCCUGGCACACUGCAAAUGUUAUUUGAACUCGAGUUAUCUUAACCAAGAAAUGUGUUGACCAAGCACUCCUAUAUGUAUAAAGAUGGAGUUCAGGAAAAAGAAUUGUCAGGCAGCUCUUGGUACUUAUUUUGAACCCAUUCCAGGGUUAAAUCAAAACCAAGAGUAUUGACAAACUCUUUCAUUUACUUAUUUCUCUACUGUGGAUGUAUCCAAUAACAUCGAGGCUGCUUCCCAGUGUCAAGUCCUUGGGCAGGGCUGGAGCAGAGAAAUGGGAGAAGAUGGGAAUUAUGACCCUGUCAACUUCAACACCUGUAUCAGAGAUGAUACCACAAAUAUGCAUAUAGUACUUCAAUGAAGAACCAAUUCUGAUAAGUCUGUGGAGUGAUCAAAAGACUUCAGGAAUUCCAGAAAUGGGAGAUAAUGCAUAUAUUCGGAAGGGAUGGCUGAGGAAUGGGAGGUAGUCCAUUCUAGCUGGAUGAGGGAAGCCACCUACUGUUCCAGCCAACCUUCUAGAAAUGGCUCCCAUUGGGCUGAUUUGAGUCACAUGUCCAUUACAGAGCCAAUCACUGGCCAGCAGGAAGGAAUGCUUUGGCCACGAUGAGCUGAAAAGUUAAAUGACUCGCCUCAGGCACCCAUCUAUUGAGAAAGAGGCUAGCGCUGCUCCUUAGGCCCAGGCUGGGAUGCUGCAUUGGCCUUGAACCCUGACAUCUUCCUUCCCAGGACUGCCUUGACUGACCCAGCAACCCAACAUCUGGCAGGCUCCAGGCUUCUCACUAUUUCCCAACAAGACUUCUGGCGUUGCCUUGACCAAAGAGGAUGUUGCAGAUGCUAUGAUUUGAAGAUCUGGGGACAUGAAACCAUACCUAUUUAGCAACCAUUGGCAGGAGUUGAAUAGUGGUUCUCCUUCUUUGACACAGAAGAGUUGGUGUAUUUUUCUACAAUCUCUCUCUCUCUCUCACCUCAUCAUUAAGGCUAAGUCUCAGUUGUCAUGAAUCAUUACACUGUUGUCUCAAAGUCCAGAGAAAUCCAUCUGUGGUGAUAUUUCUAUAAAGAGAUAAAAAAGAACAACACCCCAAAUCAUUGCAUGUAUAGAUGACCCUUGAACAACACGGCUUUGAACUCCACAAGUCCUCUU